AGAGCAGUCACUUUUCUUGGGCGCAUGAAGAAUUGGGGGAGGGAUUUAAAAUGGAAUCAAUCUAGGUCUUGAAGUGGUAGGAUUUUCAGUGUAAGCUUAUUUGCAAGGAUGCAUAUGUUGAUUUUUCUAUAAGGAGUUGCCUUGGUUGCUGUUUGCAUACUAAACUCAUGUUAUGCUUCAUUUUUCUUUUUUUUAACCAGAGCACUGCUCAGCUCUGGCUUAUGGUGGUGCAGGGCUUUGAACCUGGGAUUUUGGAGCCUCAGGCAUGAGAAUCUCUUUGCAUAACCAUUAUGCUAUCUACCCCUGCCCUCUCUCUCUCUCUCUUUUUAAAGUCAACUGUACUGGAAAAUUUCUCAUUAUUUGAGGUUCCAACUGGUUUAUCAUAUUGACUUUCAUUUUUUAAAGUGUUUCAAGAAAAUGUUAACCUGUUUGAUUUUUUGCUUUAUGGAUAAGAUGUCCAUACUGUAAGAGGGUGUGUUGGUUUGGGCUUUUUAGAUGAACUACAACAGAUGAGCAAAUACUGAGAUGCACUUCAAGGUAAUUUCCUCUAGCUCAGGAUGAUAGUUAGUUGUCCAGACAAGAAUAGUGGUGAUUGGUUCUAGAAAGGAAAAGACAGUGGCUUAAAUGCGCUAAUUUGAUAAGGAAUAGAUUUCUUUUUUCUUCUGAAAAAAACAAAACAAACCUGUUUUGGUGACUUUCCUGUUGCUAACUAGUAACACUUGUGGGUUUUUUUUUUUUGUGUGUGUUAACCACAAAGGCCAGGCAGCUAAACUGAAAACUGCGUAUACUCUAGGCCCUUAAAUCUGAAAGGAAAAUGCUUCUGAUCUUGACUAAAAUUAUCCAGAGCAUUUUAGGACAAUGUAGCUAAAUGCUUUCUGGUUGGCAAGCCUGAAUAUCUUGCUCCCAGAGAUAAUCUUAGAAACAAAUGCAAGGCACACAAAUAUGUGAGAGAGACCUAGGGACUGAUCAGAAAAUGAAUCGAGCUUUAAUAUUCAUUUGUGUCCGAUUCUUCCCUUAGCUUAGAGGAGGUCAGAGGGCACCACAGCACCGUCAUAUUCACACUUUUCAGCUGGAGGUUGUGGGCAUGGAGGUAGAUUCGACUUAUUUCACAGAUGAGGAACUGGAAUCAAGAGAUAGAGGCCAGUCUUAGAGUUAGGGCUGGGCUCCCCUGGCAUUGAUUCGGCCUUGUUCCUGGGUAUAUGUGUAAUGAGGAUUAGAGAGGCUGCAGAAAGACUCCAUAAGCUGAUAUAUAUAUAUAUAUGAGAGAUCCAGAACAUCACUAUGGUAAAUAAGAUGUCAGGGACAGAACCCAGUACCUUAUGAGCUUUUUAAUAUUUAUUAAUGAUUCAUUUAUUGGAUAGAGACAGAGAGAAACUGAGAAGGAAGGGGGAGAUGGAGAGGGAGAGAAAGCAAAGAAGAGAUACGCAUGGCCCACAGACAUAUGCAGAAAUGCUCUAAUUCACUCACCACUAGAGAAAUGCAAAUUAAAGCCACAUUGGGAUACCACCUUGCACCUGUAAGAAUGACCUUCAUCAACAAAGCAGGAUAAGAUAAAUGUUGGAAAGGAUGUGGAGAGAAAGGAACACUGCUGGUGGGAAUGCAAAAUGGUACAACCAUUAUGGAAAACAGUAUGGAGAAUCCUUAAGCAAAUACAGAUGGAAAUACCUUAUGACCCAGCAAUUCCACUCCUAGGCAUUUAUCCAAAAGAGAUAAUACCCCUAAUUCGAAGGGAUAUAUGCACCCCCCAUGUUCAUAGCCACAUUAUCCACAAUAGCAAAAAUUUGGAAGCAACCAAAAUGCCCCCCCACAGAUGACUAGUUAAAAAAGUUAUGGGACAUACACUCAGUGGAAUACUACUCAGCAAUAAAAAGAUGAAUUUACAUCCUUUGGGAUAAAAUGGAGAGGGAGAGAAAGAGAGAAACUUGCAGCACUGCUUCCCUGCUCCAGAAGCUUCCCCCUGGCAGGUGGGCACUGGGGGACUUGAACCUUGGUCUUUGAUGCGGUAACAUGUUUAUUCAACCGAGUGUGCACCGUUUGGCCCCCUAAGUUUAUUUUAAUGCCACCAGAGUGAGGCUUGGUGCCUGCCCAGCUCUACUGUUCCCAGUGGCCAUUUUUACAUUUUCAUUUUACUGGUGAGAGACAGAGGUCAAAAUGAGUGAGACAGAGAGGAGAGAUACCUGGAAAACUGCUCCAUGCACAGUGAAGCUUCCCCCCACCCCAGCAGGGUGAGCUACUACCAAGCCCUUCCAUGAGGUUUUUAUUUUAUUUUACUUAGUUAUCUAUUUUUCUUUACCAGAGCACUGCUCAGCCCUGACAUAUGUUGGUAGCAAGAAUUGAACCUGGGACCUUGGGGCCUCAGGCAUUUUGUAUAAACACUAUGCUUUUCUGCCUUUUAUUUGACAGCCUCGCCACGGCAUGCCUGAGAAAAGCUCUAGCUCUCCAGUGGCCAGUCUCUCUCAGCUCAGGGGUUUAAUUUUCCCUAUUGGUCAAUCCAGCCUAUUUUCUCUCCUUUGUUCCUUUGGACUUUUUCUCCCUCUAGCUGGCCCUUUACCUAAUGAAAAUAGGGGAUUGAGAGAGUGUAACACUAUUUUACUCUAACUCUUCAAACAAGCAGACAAUUUUAAAUUCUUAUUCCUAAGGGGUAAAAAACACAAGAAGGGCAUUCAAAUAUUUUGUUACAGUUUUGCUUUCAGAGCUCUGGAUGUCCCUUGGAUUUCCUUUCUCCUCCUCCUCAUCUUCUUCCUCCACUCUUUCUCCUCUCCCUCCCCUCCUCCUUAAAAUACUUUAUUUAUUUAAUGAGAGGCAUAGAAAGAUAUGUAGAGAGAAAAACCAGAACACUGCGUAGCUGUGGCUUUUGUUGGUGCUAGGGAUUAAACCUGGGACCUCAGAACCUCAGAUAUGAAAUUUUUAUGCAAAACUGUUAUGCUGUCUCCCUUUUCAUUCACACCCAAGUGGCUUUGCUGCCCACCAUCUUGAUGGUAUCUUGUAGCCAGGCAGUGUGAGCAGUGCUGUGUAGACAGUUUCAGCUUGCUUGGCUGGGUUUCCAGAAGAGAGUAUUCAAGAAUAUCAUGGGAAUGUGGUCAGUCAUCAAAGCCAAGAAUCUUUCAUGGAUCCAGUCAACCCCCUUUGCAAAGGACCUAACUAAUUAAGAUGCUUAGAACAAGAUAGGCUGGGUGUAAACUAGAGAACCCCUUUCAUUUAAUGAAGAAUGAAUUAUAAUUAAAGGGGACUUUGAACUUAGGGAGAGACUUUGCUGAAGUGGCCUACCUACCUUCAGAGAAGCUCUCUAUAGAUGCCUUUGUCUCACAGACAUUUGUGCAAAGAUAUUAGUCAUAAAAUACAAAUAAUUUCUAAUAGUAAAAUUUGGAAAUGGAUAUAUAUGCUGUUUCAUGCUUUGAGGAAAUCAUCCCAGGUGAAGGAACUCCACAAAUGUUUGUACAGAACUGAUCUCCCUUGCCUACAUUUUCUUACAAAUUUUAGCAUCUUUAUUUCUUUGCUCACCCUAUAACCCAGUUAACUAAAUGAUUCAUGUAAUAUAUAUACCUUAGUGAGUUAUCACUUAGGAUGAAUUUGAAUUUUUUCUUGGUCACCAGGGCUUUGGGUCUGCAUGAUGUCAUAGCUCCCAGAGGUACCCCCCUAUGCUUUAAUCUGAAAUAGAAAGAAACAGAGGGAGAGGGAGGGAGAGAAAGAGAGGUGAAAAAAAGACCACUCCACUACUCAUGAAGCUUCCCCUGCACCUGACACUCUCAGCUGGUGCCAGGGACUCAGUCUUCACCACCUGCUAUGGUAUCACUCUGACACAUGAACUAUCUCCCAGCCCCUGGAUUUGAUUUUUAAGUAGAGAAAACUUGCACUGAGUUAAAUUAUAGGAAUCAAUUGCCCCAGAUACAUUUCCUGUUUUAAGUGGGAGGUGUGACCCUUGGUCAUGCAUGACAUAUUAGCUUUUCUAAGAGAGAAAGUGAAAGUGAAAUAUUCUCAUCUUUUUGUGACUUCAGAAGUGUCACAUCUGCACAAGGCACUUCGGAUUUAUCCCAGUUGCAUUUUAACUGUUUACUGGUUUAGCUUGAUCUGGGAGUAAGUGAAGGAAAAGAAAAUCAGAAUGCCCACUUGUCGUGAAACAGCAAAAAUCUUGCCUUAAAGGUUAAGCCACCUCAUAUUUUUGUUCAUUUGUUAAGACAUUUUAAAUGUACACUAUUUUCAUCAGCAUUUUUUUUUUUU